GGGUGUCUUGCUAGAGAUCUCUGCCUACCUGAGGCUUUCUAAAGAAUGGUCACCUGUGGCCCUGUGAGUUGCCUUUGGCCAGGACCGGAUAAUUCAUGAGGAGAGAGUGCCUCAUGCACAAGGCAUCUUCUCAUCACUGGCUGCUGCUAUACAACUGUAUCUUUAGCAACCCGAUAUAUCCAUGGAUCAAGUGUGUGAUUAUGAGGCAGAAGAGAUGAAGUCUGUCAGGGAUCUCCUAACUAGCUAAGCCAGGCAUGAAAAGAGAUGAAUCAAAAUAAGAAUAAUUGAAGAAUACUCACCCUUCCCCUUGGGGAAAGAAUUAAGAGCAUCACUGCAACUGCUUGAAAACUGCCCAAAGAGUCGAGCUGUCAGAAGAAUGGCAGAAGAACAGAAUGCAGAGAAGCAAGAAAAAAAACCACACAACUGAACUUCCAUAUGAACUGAAAACACUGAAGAAAACAUAAUGACUAGACCAUCCAAUUUUUCAUUGGCCACAGAAUCCACUGCCCUUUCAUUGUCAGCAUCAUUACACUGCUCUCAAGAAUUCCUGCUCUCAAGGGACUGAGGCACUAGUCACUGUUUACUGUAACGGGAGAAAUAGGAUGUGCAGUAUAUGAAGAUUUGGCAUACAAUGGGAAUUAGGAAUCAAGGUUAAUUACCUAGGAGUGAUGAAAAUACUGUUGGAAAAAUACAUGCUGAUGAGCAGAAGGCACUGUUCUAUGUGCUUCUGUGCCUGAUGGGAAAGCUGCAAAGAAGUCACACUCCUCAGCUUCAAUCUGCUCCCACGGAUCCUCCAAAGUAGAGAUGUUCUGGGAUGGACCCCAGGUGACUGUGUCACGCCUGGCUCAUAGUAUGUUUACAGUGAGCAGGUCUCUAAUGGCAUGGACACUUCCCAGUAUUUGAAAGCCACAGCUGCACACUUUGGUAAUGUAAUUUGAUGUAAUAUAUUUAGCAAAACACAAUUUGCAGAGUAUAGAAAAACAUAAGCCCUGCGCAGAGAAGGAACACACAGACAUUGUGUGGAUAUUGGGGCAGCAGUUGAAGGAGAACCUGUAGCCCUCAUCGCUCACUUUAUCAAAGAAUUCAAAGCAUCGGAAACUUACUGUGGAGUGCUCUAGAGUUAUAAAACAGAUUCUAAGCAUGCCUUGAAAUAUGGAGAAAAUUAUUUCGAACACACAUAUAUAUGCAUGAUUCUAUGAUUCUUCGAAAUCAUGCAUUGUUAAAUUCUCUGUAUUCUGUACGUGUCUGCACAGCUGUGUUUCUAGUAAGGUGGAUUUGUGCAUUACAAACAUGUAACAGACUUGCCACGCAUUGAGGUUCUCUGCUCAGGGAAGUACUGCAAUGAUCAAACAGGAACAGAAACUCCAUUUCUACAUUUUACAUGGAAUGACACGAGCUAUUCUGUGACAGAAGUGCUGGAAGUCCCAUCCUUGGAGACAUUAAAGAUGAGGCUUUGAGCAACUUGAUGUAGCUGUGCAUGUCCCCGUUCAUUGCAAGGGAGUUGGACUAGAUGACCUUCAAGGGUCCUUUCCAACUCAAAUGAUUCUACGAUUCUAUGAUUCUAUUUACUUACACACUCUGAAGCGGUGAUUGUCAAAGAGCUGGACAUGAAAGAUUGCCCUUCGUUCAAACUCACCAAAACUUCUAUAGUUCUGGAAAGAAAAAGGAAAACAAUCAGCAGCCAUAAAGCACUCAGUAAAGGCACAUACAUGCUACGGAGGCACUGGGAUGUGCAGGCUCCAUUCAACAGAGUGGGUGUUCUCAGACAGGUGUCCUUAGAAACCAAUCCUUGCUCAUUUCCAGUUGAGCUUUCUUCAAUUCAUGCUACUUAGAAUUGAAUACACCAAUAGCUUGCGGUGUCCCUCUGGGGUUGUGUUGAUGACUGUUACAAAUAAUUUCAGUCUUCUCAGUAGAGAGCUGAGAAUAUCCCUUCUCUAUUCCACGUAACAUAAAACACCCCCAAAAGUUCCACAUGAAAUAAAUUGUGGAUCAACUGUAAAAAUAGCAUUGUUUUGUCUACUCCAUAACCAUCUCUUUAGUCAUACACAGACAUUAUGGAUAAAAAUGUCGAAUAAUUAUAAAUGGUCAAGACUUUCUAUAAAUAGUACAUAAACACUGCAUGCAAAUAGUAUGUGGUUUACAUUUUACAAAUUAACCCUAGAAGAAAACAACACAUGGCGAAUGUUAAACAGAAGAGGACUCUUCAGCAUCUCUGGCUUGGAUUCCCAAGAUUCAGUUUAUGUUAUGCACAGUUGUAAUUAAAUAAAAAUAUAGAUAUCCAUGAACUAAAAUGAUUAAUCAUUUAUAGCGUUCUUCUUAGAUGUCAUCAAUUUUUAUUCUGGCACAAACGCUUUAGUCAAUAUGGAGUUCAGAGCUAUUUUAACUAAUUUGGCUAAUCUCUUUUUCAAUUUAAGUAAAAAUGAAGUAAGUUGCUUCCACUAAACUCAUUUUUAAAUGGUCUAUGUUAUGAAUAAUUGAUCUAACAGAAAGAAUAACACUAAUUUACUUCUAAUUACUACAGGAGUGAGUGAAUCAGAACAGAUAAAAUAAAAAAUUAAUUAAAUUCUCUCCCAACUAAAUAAAGCAAACUGCAAAAAAACUUCAGUUUGUGAUGAAUAUUUUAGAUGUUGUGUUUUUUAUUUAUUUAUUUUUAAUUUUCAGUUUCUCACUUUGCCAUUUCAGUGAGAAAUGCUAUGGGAAACUUUAACAUCACAAUUCUGCUUGAGUGUGACUGGCAAAAUGAUCCUACUGACUUGAGUGCAGAGCAAGAGGAUUUCACUCCAUGCCUUUUGUUAAAUGGAGAAGAAAUUUGUAUGUUUCAACUCUUCAAUAUCUUGAAGAUCUGCACAUCGUAAACACAGCACACUGUUUUUCUGUCCAAGUCAUCCCAGUAAAGUUUCCAGCAUCAUGAAGUCACAUCUUUUUGCACUCUGAUCACAUCACUGCUCUAACCAUGGCUGUACAGGUGUAACUGAAAGCUGAACUCAGUCCAGAAAUACAGAAGAAAUCACAGCACAGAGAGUAUCUUUGAUUGCAACUUUUCAGUUAAGUCCAAAUCCAGACAGAAGAGAUUGUUCUCAUACAUGCUUCAUUUUCCCCCCUUCAGCCUUGUCUUUUUAAAGCAGAGGCAGAGAGUAACAUGCCAUAGGCUCCACACCAAAUUUUGGGACUUGGGUAAACCCAAGAAAAGGCAUCCAUUGUGGUCAUGUUUCCAAAGUACAAAAGCUAUUCAGCCCUUAUACUUUCUCUGAACUUUCCUAAGUAAUGGUGGGUGCUUUCCCUGUGACAGAUGCUAUAAUCGCGAUUCUGUUGCUUGGUGUGAAUUCUGGUCAUCCUUCCAACUAUGCUAUAUCCAGCUGUAGUACACCAUGUAAUCUUGAUUUUUAAAUAACCAUAUCAUGUUCUCGAAGUCUGUGAAUCUACAUCCUUACAUACCUUGUGCAUUUUUUUUCAAUUUCCCAUAAUACUUUAACUGUCUAAAUCCAUUUUUGCUUUUCCUCAUCUCUUUCAUCCUUGCUUGGAACCAUUUCUCUAGUCUUUUGUUGUGCAAAACUCCACUGAGAUCAACAAUAGCUGCCUAUGUGUUGGUGAAGAACUUCUGGUUUUGGCCAGGAACAUCUGACUACAGUUACUUGAAGCUAUUGGGAUCCAAUUUCCAAACUGCUUUCAGAUGCCUUUCCCCAUUUCAUUUAAAAAAAAUAAAAAUAAAAAAUUGUGAACAAUACUCCCUGAUUUCAUAUGCAUUUUCUUCUGCUAUCCAAUCAGUUCCCUCUGCUGCUUGGCAAAAUCAUCCUUCCUCCUGACUCGUGUGUUUUUCUUGGUCAGGAAUAUUUUAGUAUUUUCCAAUACUAUUUCACGAUGUUUUUUGCCCUCUGGCAUUUUGUUGAGCUGUUUGACAUGCUGCUACCAGUCCCAAAUGAACAUGGUUGCAAUGAAGGUGCGUCAGUGACUGACUGCCAUUGCCAGCACUAGCUGGAAAUUCCUGCUAUGAAGGAAUGAGACCUAUGACUUGGGUAUUGGGUUAUUUUGUAUUCCCCAGAAAAGUCCCAGCUUUCAAGACUAGUCAUCAACCCUGUAAAAUUUCUCACAUCAUUUCUCUCUUAGACAUUAGUGCUUGAAGCAAAAGAAGUCAUUCUUUUUUCUGUUCCCUCUCCGUGCCGUGCAUCAUACUCGUGCUGCAACAUAGGCUGUUUUCUUCAAUUUCUGUGACCAGUUCUUUCUUGCUACUGUAUGGAGCAUCUCUACUUGUUCUCUAGCAGUGCUUCAUAGCUUUCAUGUCUGCCCUAUUUGUCCCUGGGAGCUUGAUGGGUCUAGGCUGAAACAUGCAGGGCUUGUGUCAUUCAGUGAACAGGAAAUGAAGCUGUUCUUGAUGUUCUUCACUGGUAAACUGAACAAAGCAGGAAACUCAAAGGCUUUUGAUGAAACUGCACAGAAAAAUCAUCUUCAGCCACACCAUGCAGCUUUUAACGAUCUAUGAAAAAUACUGCAUAAUAGCUAAGAUAGCCUAGAUGAGUGGAUAAACAGU